rnacentral:rRNA from 1 species
UACGGAGGGUGCAAGCGUUAUCCGGAUUCACUGGGUUUAAAGGGUGCGUAGGAGGGCAGGUAAGUCAGUGGUGAAAUCCUGGGGCUUAACCCCAGAACUGCCGUUGAUACUAUCUGUCUUGAAUAUUGUGGAGGUGAGCGGAAUAUGUCAUGUAGCGGUGAAAUGCUUAGAUAUGACAUAGAACACCAAUUGCGAAGGCAGCUCGCUACGCAUAUAUUGACUCUGAGGCACGAAAGCGUGGGGAGCAAACAGG